AAGGCUUUAAGUUAAAAUUAAACUUGUAACCUUCAAAGCUAUAAAUAAAGAUGCAUCUUUAAGCCUUA
rnacentral:tRNA from 1 species